CGUACCACCGCUGCUGCCGUGUGGCGUGUGCCAGUGGGCUGCUGUGCUGUGCUGCUUGCUACGAUGGCCGAAGAGCCUGUCGCUACAAAUAAGACCGCGAUGGAGACGACGACCCAGAAUAACAUCCCCGAGGUCGUCGUCGGCGCCGGAGUUGGUGCACUAUCGGCGACUCCUCUGGGCCCACCGGAGAAUGAAAUCAAUACAAUGAAACUACAAGCGUCUCAAGCAAUUUCAAGGCUCGAAGAGUCCUUGGAAAAGGGAACAGAAACAGAAGGCAGCACAUGGAAUACACCUUCAGGUUUUCUACUUCACCCAAAGGCACCAGAAGAUAUUUUUUCAUCAAUACAGGAUCUGAUUGUCUAUGAAGAUGCACCACAGGUUGUUGAAGAAGGAAAAUCAGAACCUAGUCCAAUCACAAGUCUGCCUCCACUUACAGAUGCAGCCAAGUUAGCUUUAAUUUCUCAUUCAGUGUCAGCUUAUGCCAUGUCUCUACCUAGAUCGCAUGCACAAAGGAUAGCUGGUCGUUUGGCAGCUGACACCACAAGAUGGCUUAGUCACAUCUUUCGGUUUGUUGAUUGCGCUUCAUCAUUUCAUGAAGAUCCACUUGAGGGACUUGUCAGAGUCACUCGUUUGGCAUUGCACAGAAAAUAUCCUAGAUAUGUAGACGAAGGCUUUACAGCAUUAGCCAGUUCUCCUCCGUUAAUUUAUAGUUCAGUUGCUGCACCACUAGGCCUAGUUCAACAUUUGUGUAAACAGCUUUCUUUGCCGUUACACUGUAUAAGGCCCAUUCCACAAAAUACAAUGUUUGGUUCUCGAAAUAGCAUGGAUAUUUCAGCACUAGAGAGACGUUUAGCUGAAGAUUCACAAUCGAAUUCUGUAACUCCUCUUUUAUUGUUGGCAGAAGCAGGUUCUGUGCUUACUGGACACUGCGACAAUCUUAGCAGGCUGCGCGAAAUAUGCGAUAAACACAACGUUUGGUUACACUUACGCGGCGACUCACUGGCGGCACUAACUUUAAAUAAUUCGGCGAAAGAUUUGUCUUCAAAAAUUGCAGAUAGUAUUACUUUGCCUCUUGGAGUUUGGCUGGGCAUACCCUCACUACCAGUAGUUACAUUGUAUAGAUUAACUGAUACGAGAGGUGCACGUCCGACAUCCAGGGACACGACGCUGUCAUUAAUAUCCGGUUUGAUGGCUGAUUCGCUGUCGAGGCGGCUGCCGACUUUGCCGCUCUGGACGGCUCUGCAAGCGCUUGGUCGCGAUGGCAUAGUCAACCGGUUCAAGCAGUGCUUCUUGGUCGUCGAGGAGCUGUAUAGUAAAAUUAAGAAAUUCAAUUGCAUCAGACUGCUGAGUCAAGAGCCAGGUGGUGAGACAGGUGCUUACACGAUAAACGAACUUUUGUCGAAUCCGUUGAACGGACCGCAACUACUGGAAGUGGUUGCGAGCGCUCUGGUCUUCCAGUUUGUACCUCCAGAGGCCGACAUGCAGGAGUUGCAGCGUGUACCACCCUACUACGACAAACUCAACUCGUGGUUGGGUCAAAUUCUGCAGCGUGAUAUUGAGAACGUCGAAAUCGAGCUCUGCGAGAUCGAACAGUAUGGUAUCGCUAUCAGAAUUUGUCCACUCGAGAGUCCGGAAUGUCCACCUAACAGCGACGAUGUAGAUAACGUUGUUGCCUGCCUCGAACAGCAAAUCGAGAUUCUAUUAGCAACAGUACAGCACAAAGAGACAUUCGUAAAAUUGGUCACGGAAAAUGAUUCGUUGCAUUUGGUGGAGAUGCCAGGUUGGGCCGGUCUGGGAGGUGUCAGAUAUGCUCCUCCGACUUGGGUGCACGUGAUGACGGAUCAAGCAAAGGAGGAACUGAACCAUUUGAAUACACAGUUGGUCGAGACUUUGAGAAGUACUGAUGCUGCCUUUUCUCUGGGCGAAGGUGCCGAUGGAUUAGCUUGUGUUAGAUUUGGAAUGGUCACUUACGAUACGGAUGUAGCCGAGCUGUUAUCGCUAGUUCUUCAAGUUGGCCAAGAAGUUGAAGCAAGUUCGAAAUUGUUGGAUACAAUGUCUGAGGUAGUGAAACGUGGUAUAGAAGCCGCACAAACAGAUUUGGAGCGUGAGAAUGCGGAGAAACUUUGGCAAGAGGGAAUACUUCGACACGUCCCUGUUGUUGGGACGUUUGUCAAUUGGUGGAGUCCACCAUCGAAAGAGGGAGGUGUUAGGGGUCGAAGUUUGAACUUACAAGCUGGAGUAAACAUUUAUGAGCCAGAAAGGAAGGGUGUCAAUAACGUUAUUUCUUGAUCCCAAAAUAACACGUGAAAUUUAACAAAACCAAGAUAGUUUUGUAAAUGAUGUUUGCCGCCAUGGAUGCAGUGUUUCGUGAAGUGUUGUCGAGAGUACAGAAAAUAUUUACAAAUACCACAUGCAACUGCAGCCGAACUCAACGACGAGUAAUGGUUCGGGUGCGCGGACACCACCGCAACCUUUGGUCCAGACGCCGGUUGGCGCAGGCAGCCAGAGCCACAGUCGAUCUUCUAGCCAUUCCAGUCUGCAGAGCGGCAAGAAUCUGCAGAGCAGCACGACCACAUCCGCGAUUCAGUCGCCCACGCAAUUAACGCUGCCGCCAUUGGUCAGCAAGGAGAAGCCCUGCGAACUGAAGUCGUAGUACUCUCAUCGUUUCGAAAAUGUUGGGGAAAAUUGUAUUUGUUAAAUUAUUUAUAUAAUAACCGGCGAGCUUCAGACGCGAAUAAUUUCUAGCGAGCGAUCACUGCUGUCCAAUGAUAUACAUAUUUAUAGUAAACUGUAAGAUAUGUUUUUCCUAGUUCCUCUUGUUGUAUUAAAAAGUAAACUGGGUUGCGCGUCGAUUGUUUAAAGGGGAUGUGCAUUUUAACGAUCGUCUUUCUUCUGCAUUGUACGGAGAAUUGGGAUGAAUCUUCAGUACUGGUGGAAGGGAAUGAAAAUGUAAUGGUACACAUUUUGAUACACAUGUUUUUUAACCUAUCGAUGUUUAGAAAUUUCGAUUUUUCUUGAGUGUCUCCCAAAAUAUAUGUUAAUUAGCCUGCAUUGCUAAGGUUUGUGUACUUAUCUAUUUGCUUGUAAAUAUGAACCAAGAAAAAGAAUAUUCUUCAUGAAAAUUAUAUUCUUUGACUUUCUGUAUCGUCACUUAGCCAUUAAAUUAUAAUAAAUUAAAUUUUUACAAAUCAUUGUUUAGCACAAAUGCAUAAUAUAUAUUCUUGAUAGAAUAAACGUGAUAUAAAUUUUCACAUAGUUUUUUUUAUCAAUUCGACUGCGGGUCACUAAGAUCGAUUAAUGGUGAUGGUAAAACACGUAAUAAUAAUAAAGUUUACCAAAGACCUUGUAAAUUCAUUCCUAGUGCUUGAAAAUAAUAAAAAGCAUCUUAAAUUCCAGCUGAUUUACUAGCGUAAAACAUGAUGCAGGAGAAGCCUUAAAUGACAUUUUAACAAAUCCGAUAUUUUUAA